UCCUAACAAGUCUCCUUCCUUCCACCCUUGCCUCCAUAAUCUAUUCUCACCAAAGCAGCCAGAAUGGUCCUUUUAAAAUGUAAAUCAGAUCAUGUCAUUCCUCUGUUCAAAACCCUCCCCAAACUCCCAACUUCAUACCAUAAUCCAAAAUCCUUAAUAUGGCCUACAAAGCCCUAUAUAAUCUCUUCCCUGAUACCUCUCUGAUUUCACCUCCUACUAUUCUUGAUCACUCAGCUCCAGCUAAACUGGCCUCCUUGCUAUUCUCCCAACUCAUCAAUUAUGCUCUCACCCCCAGGUUUUUAUACUUGCUGUUCCCUCUGCUUGGAACCCUCUUCUCCCAGAUGUACACAUAGCUUGCUCACUCCCUUCAGGUCUCUCUUCUCAAAUAUCACCUUAUCAGAGAAACCUUCCCUGUCAACACUAUAUAAGACAGCUUAUACACUCUCACCAUUCUCUGUCUCUUUACCCUGUGUUGUUUUUCUUUUUAGCAUUUAUCAAUUAUAUUAUUUGUUUAUUAUCUGUCUCCGCAUCCCAUUCUCCAGAAUAUAAGCUCCAGGCCAUCAGGGCCUUUGCUAAUUAUGUCUUUGCCUAUAAUAGUGCAUGGCACAUAGUAAAUACAGUAGACUGUGGGUUCCUUAAUGUAUAAGAUUGAAAGUAAGAACAAAAAGCCUCCAUAGUUAGUCAAAACCCUGUACUCUGUAUAAUCAAGACACCCAGCAAACGUUUAAUGAUUUUUUUUUUACAUGCAUACACACUUCUUCUGGCCAAUUAUUAUUGGCCAGAGCCUCAUAUCAUGAAUCUUAGAAUUGUUUAGUCCCCCAAAGGAAGGAAAAAUCAGUUGUAAGUGGAAAGUUCAGCCUCUGAUAUUGAAAGCAUCAACACUUAAAAAUUAAGGCAAAUGAUAUUUUACAAUUCAGUUCAAAACUUGAUCCAUUUUAAGGCUUCAACUAUUGUACCAGAAGCUCCUUCUUCCUCUUAUGUUUUCUAUCACCACCUAUAGCUUGUUUCCCUCUCGUACCUUCUCUAAAGAGAGAAAGACACUGAGCUUGCAUUAAUGAAGGCUCUGAGUUUGAACCCCAAAAGUCCAGAAACGGAAAGUGAUUUUUUUUUACAAAUUUCUAGAGCCAAUUAAACUCAACCACAAAUGAUAUCAAUCUUGAGCUACUUGUAAAGAUUUUAAGUGCUGCCAUGUAUGUCAUUCCACAUGAAUCACAAGACUUCAUCAUCUAUGUAGCAUAGAUAUUAUUGAAGACUGUGCUCUAAAUUAUAAUUUGAGACCCUUUAGUUCAGUUAAAAUGAUUAUGUAUUUCAUUAAAUUAGGGAGUAAAGCAGGUUGGUGACUUAAAAAAUGCCUAAAAGUAAUAAGCACUCCCAAAGCCUGCAGUGUCCAAUUGCUCAAUUUCCAAAGCUUUAGGUAAAUACCAGGAUCUUCAUUAAUAUAGGCUUUCCCAAGAUACUCCUUACCAAGAAUCUCUAAUAAAAGCAAUCCAUUUUUUCCUUUGGUGCUAAAGUGGCCAGGCUCAGACAAAAACAAAAAAACAAAAAAACACCACCAAAAGAAUUACAUAAAGGGAUUUUUGGAUAGGACUUACAGACACAAAAAUCAAUAAGCAACUUCAGAAUAUAAAAAUCAGUAAACCUUCAGGUGAGUUGACACAGAAUGUAGAACACCAGAAAUAUAACUGAAAAUUGGCUCCCAGUUCUCACACACUCCAUCGCUGGUAAAUACAUAGCAGAGGAUAGGAAGCAUAUUUAAAUCAUCCCUUCAGUGAUCUUCAACAGCUUUACAAACAAGUACUAGACUGCUAUCUCCAUUUUACAGAAAGUUAUUUCUAUUAUUAGGAAGAAGUUAAGGUGCAGGGAAGUCAAGAGCCAAAUCCACAUAGAGGUUUAUGCUGGUAAUGGGGGUUAAAAUUACGUGCAGGUAUACUGAAGUCACAUGUGUGGUUAAUUUUAUCAAACAACCUGACUCUCUGGGAACACUGAGUUAGGGCAGAAGAGAGUACUAAAUAAAUGUCUUUAUUCUCACAAUAACUCCUCCAUUUUAACUACCAUCUUCUCUGUCUCACCCUCUCUCACAAACUAACUGCACAUUUCCACUGUCAAAAGCCACAUUAAAUUCGAGCAAAAGACCACAAUCACCUAGUUAAUCUCUAGUACAACCACUGAUUAGAGGAUGCUCUUGAGACCCCCAGCUCUGGCUCUCCACUAUAAGUGGAUGUGGGUACAUGAGCCCUAUGGGGUUUGGGAAAAGAGAGAGCUCAAACAAUGUACUUGUCAGCACUUUAAACAAAAAACCCAUUCAAUUAGAAUGGCACCAUGUUCCUUUUGCCCUUUCUCCUUAGGAACUAAAUUAAACAGAUUACAGACAGUGGCAAGAGCUGGCCUUAGAACAGUCUCCCCCUUAUUUGUUAUUUUUAGCAAUUUAGUCCGACAACGCCUGACAACUAAACAUGCCUAGAAUAGCUAAAGGGAGGGGGGAUUAUCAGAUACUACCAGCAAAAAAACACUAGUCAUCACUUCCUCCAACCCUAAGAAAGAAUCAUUUUCCAUGUCUUUAUAGCAUCACAGAGUUUGAGCUUUUAGAGUCUCAUAUAAAAACACAGCACAUAUAAAACAUCAGUGGAAACUGAUAAUGCUUCCUGACCUGGAGUAUUGUUCCACCCUCAUGUGUUUUCUUAAAAACAAAAGCAUAAUAAAAUGAACUAAAUUGUUUUACACAAAAGUUAGGACUACAAUGCAUGUGUGUCCAUUUUGGAAAAAUUCCAGCACAAGAUAAUUAUGUACCCAAAAGAAUGGCCUCAUGAAUAGUGAUGGAAUUCAUAUAUUUUUAUUAUACUGGUGGCAGGUGAGAGAUUUGUUUCAAAACAAGACAAAGUGAGGUGGGAGAAAAUCAUAAUUAGCAAGACAGCAUCAACCAUAGACACUAUUUUUAAAUGAAAUAAUGUAGUAAAAAUUCUUUGAAAAAUGAAUAAAAUUGUAAAAUAAAAAUGGUAAAGUCCUAAGCAGUAUAACUAUCUGCACCAGCAGAUUAACUAAAAUUCAUUAAAACCCAUUUUAUAACAUUUACCACUUAUAAUAAAAGUCCAUGUACACUCAAAGAAUUUAAUAAUUUUUCAAUAUUUUCUGAAUUUUUUUUGCCACUAAGUAUCAUGUAUUUUACAUGACACUAUAGGAUAAAGCACUACAAAUGAUAAAAUGAUGUCUCCCUGAGUAUGUUACUUUAUGCAUGUAGAGUUAAUAAGCUAUUACACAGCUCUAUCCAAAAGUAUCUCUAAAACAGGUGAUACCUAAUACAAACUACCUUUAAGCCAUCACACAAACAUCUCUGUGAUUUCAGUUAUUUAAGCAACUACUACAAAGAUAUCAAACAAUACGCUGUCACCUCGUAUUACAUUUUAGCUGGCAAAGCUGUAGGCAGACAACUAGUUUUAUUUUACCUGCAAAAAUAGGAUUACAAUUAAUAAAUUAAGGUAAUGAUCUAAACAGAAAGGAAACCGGGGUUUUUUUGUUUUGGUUUGCCUCCCUCCAUCUUUUCAUUUUACGGGGACAUUUUUGCUCCUAAAGUGGCAAUUCAGAAAAAGACCAAGGUUAUAAUGAUAAACUUAAUAGAAGUGACCCUAGAUAUCUUCUAAUCCAACCCUCUUGUUUUACAGAUGAGGACACUGAGGCUUAGAGUACAGCAAGGGCUAGAAUCCAGAACUCCUAACUCAACAGAAGCUGAUUAUGAAUUGCCUCCUUGGAUUGAAGAAUAAACCUACAAAGCACAAAAAAGUUGAAGAUUAAGCCACGUGACUACUAUGUUCAUAAAAAUCAACAACUAUAUGCCACAAAUAUUAAACUAAGAAAACUAGAAGGAUGAUCUCCAAUUGAGAACAAAUAAAAUGUAUUACUAUGUUAUGACAAACUCAGGAAACCUCCACAGGUUGAAGCCUUCUUGGCUGAGAAGGAAUAAAAGCUUAAAAGUAAA